UUUUUUCUGGUCCUCCAUCGUUUGGAGCUACACGACAGAUGCUCCUACUGUUUUAUACUUCUGUUAUUCUCUGUGUACUGCAGUGUUGUAAUACUGUGUGGUACAGCUGCCUGUCCACUUCUGUAAAAUCUGGACUGAAACA